GAUGUUUGUGCAAAUUUGCUGCUUUGUGUAAGAGUGGAAGGGGAAGUGAAUUUCUCUGAGGCUUGGGGAGUGGGUUCUUCUGUAAACGAACACGUCCUGAUGAGAGGCUGCUAACCAGCAGCUUUCUUGAGAGUUUAGGGGAUCUCUUAGAUUCCAGCUGCGUUUCUCGGAAGUCCUUCAAGCUGAGGUGAUGCUCCGGCAUAUGUGAGGAAUCCAGAGAUUUGACUGGAAGGAGAGGGGACUCCUUGGCACUCUCAGCUGAAUCCCUGAAGAUGCCUACGGUUGACGCAUUGUGGAUAUCCGCUGCAAAGUCUUUCUCCUGGUUUGCAGCAAUGCCUUCUGUUGGACAAGCUGCAAUAAUGACCUCACAGUUGCUCUGUGCCUUCUUUUGGCCUUUGGGUCUUGGUCCUCUCUGGAACUGACCACCAUCUUGCUUGGCAAAGUCGUCUUCAUCGCUGGCAUCGCCAUCAUAGAAAGCAAUUCUCCUCUGCCUCUGGAACGCGGUUCGGCUACCUUUGGGGCUAUCGCUGAAACUCACGUGCCGAACUGCUUCCCUGUGCUUGUUCACAGGACCAGGUCAAAAAGUUAUUAAACGCUGCCUUCGAAACAAGACCACUCAGCUGAAUUUUAGGACUUUUACCAACCCGACUCACUGGCUCCAAGAAACGCUUCAUCGUCCAGCUCAGAGGCGAGGAGGCAUCACUCUGCUUCGACUUCACGCUUGGGGAUGGACUCUUGGGCAGGUUACCUGUGAAACGGAAUGGACCGCAUUGAUAUCUUUUUUAUUCCUUCUCCCCCGCCCUCCUCUCAAGAGCUUAGGCAUCAUAGAUGGUUUCCCCACUCUAUUUUACCAUCACAACUAUCAUGUAAGUAGAAACCAUGAGGAUGUGACAGAUUGAGAAUGAGCUGAAUGGUAAAGUGGAGAUUUGUGAUGUAGUGACUGGAAGAUUAUACUAAGACCUGGGAGGAGGAGGAGGAGGAGUUUGGAUUUAUAUCCAACCUUUCUCUCCUGUAAGGAGACUCAAGGUGGCUUACAAGC